ensembl:lncRNA
UGUCCUUGGGUCCUGUUUGUUGCCUGGAAGAAGAGGCCAUAUCUCUCCUUAUCACAACCACCCCUCAGGAGGUUAUAGAGUGCAAUGAGGUCUCCCCUGAGCCUCCUCUUCUCCAAACUAGACAAUCCCAGCUCCCUCAGCCACUUCUCAUAAGACCUGUGCUCCAGAUCCCUUACCAGUUCCAUUGCCCUUCUCUGGACACAUUCCAUGGCCUCAAUGUCUUUCUUGUAGUGAGGGGCCCAAAACUGAACACAAUACUCAAGGUGUCGCCGCACCAGUGCUGAGUACAGGGGGAUGAUUACCUCCCUGCUCCGGCUGGCCACACUGUUUCUAAUGCAGGACAGGUUGUUGUAGGCCCUCUCGCCAGCUGGCCACACUGUAGGUUCAUGUUCAGCUGAGUAUCAACCAAUACCCUCAGGUCCCUUUCCUCUUCACAGUCAUCCAGCCACUCAUCCCCAGGCCUAUAGCACUGCAUGGGAUUAUUGUGGCCAAAGUACAGGACUCGGCACCUGGUCUUGUUGGACCUCAUCCCAUUCACCUCAGCCCGGUGAUCCAGUCUAUCCAGAUCCCUCUGAAGGGCCUCCCUACCCUCAGGCAGAUCCACACUACCUCCCAUCUUGAUGUCACCUGCAAACUUACUGAGGGUACACUCAAUCCCCUCACCUAGGUCAUCAAUGAAGAUAUUAAACAAGAUGGGAACCAGUACCGACCCCUGAGGGACACCAUUUGUAAUGGGUUGCCAGCUGGACUUAACUCCAUUAACCACUACCCAUUGGGCACGGCCUUCUAGCCAGUUCCUUACCCAAAGAUGGGUAUACCUGUCCAGGCCACAGGCAGUCAGUUUCCCCAGGAGAAUACUGUGAGAGAUCAUUUGAUGGAUACCUCAUCUCAUUGACACAACUGUUUGUCUUUAGGAAGAAGGAUCUCUUCAAGGAUCUCUUUAAGAACCUCUUGUCUUGAAUAGACCUACGUGUAAAUGCGUUGCUUCCCUGAGGCAUUUUCUUGCUAGAAUGUAGCCCAUAGGAUUUAAUUUUAAGGAGUUUCUUUUUGUUUCCAACAUUCUUUUAUCUUAGUUAUUUUAAUUUAUUCUAUUAGAAUAUUUUGAAUCAUAAUCUAGCUAAUGAAAGUCCUUAGAAUUUCCAUUUACAUCAUUUAAAGAAUUUAAAUCAGUUAAUAGCACUGAAAAUAAGGCAGAUGACUUUGAAACAUUCAAGUUUGACAGCAUGCUACUGGUAAAUAUGGGAAGGAUGGGUUUUUUUCAAUCAAUUAUUCAUUUUUACUGCAGAGAUCUCACAUCUCCACCAUAUAUCUUUUAAUUUAAGGGUCAAACUCAGUAAGGAAUUAGCAUUAAGGUUUGGCAAUUAUCAUGAUUAACAAUUGUGAACAGUCUCUUUUAUAACCUACACCUCAAUUCAGG